rnacentral:lncRNA from 1 species
AAUGUAUACAAUGCUAUGAGAAAUGAAUGCAUGUGAUAGAUGUUAAGUAAUGCAUGAGAUAUGUGCCAAAUAAUGAAUGUAUAAGAUGUAUGUUAAGAAAUGCAUGUUGUCAUAGUAGGAAAUGCUAAAAGUAUGCAUAUUGACAUAAGGUAAGAACACUAAGCUAAUGCUUGUGACAUGUUAUAGAAAUGUUUGAUGAAGCAUGAGUAAAAUGUUAAAGGCAUGUUGAGAUGUAUGUUAUGUAAACAUAUGAGUUAAAUGUAUGAUCCGUAUUGUGAGAAUAUGUUAAAAUGACAUAAAGUAGAAAGCAUGCAUAAUGAUAAGAUAGGAAUGCUAAGUAAAGGAUAUGUGUAAGUUGACAUAAAUGCACCUAUAGAUCGAGUGGCAUUGAACCUAGUGUCAAGGACAUAGGUUAAACAAAGAAAAUAAUGAACCUAGUGUCGAUGAACAUAGGUUAUUCACGAGUGGCAUGUCAAGUAUGAUUCCUAGGUGUGGACAACUAGGAAAACAAGAACAUGAGUGGCAUUGAACCUAGAGUCAAAUAAACCUAGGUUGUAAAUGUAAUGAUAUAGAACCUAGAGUCAAGUGAACUUGGGUAAUAAAGAAUGUUGGACCUAGCGUCAAUGAACCUAGGCUAAGAAGAUAAUGACGUUGAACCUAAUGUAUUAACAUAGGUUGAGUAAAGGCUUGGACCUAGAUAGGUCGAUAACAUAGGGUGAGACCAACCCUUGAGUAAUGUAAAGUGGAUUCCAGAAUCCCUGCUGCUAGUGCAGCGGCUGCUAGUGCAGCAUACAAGCUCGAUAGUUCUUGGCCGCGGGUGCAUGUGGCGUGUUCCUCUCUCACCGGAAGAACUUCGAGGCUUGUUAAUGAGCAAGAACAAUGAGCGCUAGGGUGCAUGUGGCAUGUUCCUCUCCCUAUCGGGGAUCUCGGCUGCGGGUGUAUGCGGCAUGUUCCUCUCCCACCGGGGGAUCCCUGACCACGGGUGUACGCAGCUCUGGGCGACCCGUUGGGCGAUGUGGUUGUGAUUGAAGGCUGAGGUGUAUGUGAGAGUUCCUUCACCUCGAGCCGGACACAGCGCGGACUAUCCGCAGUUGAUUGACUCAAGACCGAGUCGGAUGGCAAAGUUGGCUAAGGUAAAGUAACCUUAGGAAAGAAAGGCUAAUGUGUAUAAUAUUACUAAGGUGUGAGUACCCUUAGAAAAGCGUAAAGAAUAAAGAAUGAAGAAUCAAGAAUAGGAAAAGGCUAAUGCUAAAGAAUGACAAGUAAUAAAGAAUAAAGAAGGGUUAAUGCUAAAGAAUAGCUAGUAAAGUAAAGAAUGAGUAAAAGUAAAGAAUGGAUAAGAAUAAAGUGUAGAAGCAAUUAAUCUACUACAUGAGUUGCAUAAUUUGCAUAUUGCAUGUUGUGAGGCAAAAGCAUGGUAAUGUUAGUUGCAUGAUUUAUGAUUUCAUAUCUAUCUAUUGGACUAACAUGUUGUUUGCCUCCUUUGACCUGAUGGUCGAGCUCUUCCCUUGGGUGGCCGUACCCACUGGGAACUAUGGAGUUAGUUCUCACCCCACGUUGUUUCGGGGUGUUACAGGUUCACACGCGAGCGGCGCGGCGGCGCGAGGAAAGGGCGUAGCUCCGUAGUUAGCGCCCUACCACAGAGACCAGAUAGCAACACCCUGAGUCAGCUACUUAGGGAUAUGGAAAAUGAAAAAAUAAGAUGUAUCAACUUGUAAUAAAUUUGUAAUAAUUUGAUUGUAUUUGGAAGUAGAAUCAAGGAAUCAAAUGUGAUGAAAUCUAAGAAUGCAAAAAUGUAAUAUGUGAGAUGAAUGCUUGUAAUAGCAAGUAGAUUUAUAUUUUUGAUACUUCCUUAUGCAAUCUUUGGUUGAAAUGUGUUCCUGGUUGGAACUUCGUACAUUGUAUUGAUUGCGACGCCUUGAACGUACAGGGGAGACUCUGUCCGCGGUAUAGGGAAAACCCUGUCCGUUCGGCGGUCUGUUGGCGUGCCCGAAUCCGACCAAAGAGGCGGGCUCGGGGCGUGACAACCACUUCAGAUUUUCUAGUUCUAUUUUGUAUUUUUAGUGAAAUUCUAUAAAUUU